UACGUAGGGUGCAAGCGUUGGCCGGAAUUAUUGGGCGUAAAGAGCUCGUAGGCGGUCUGUCGCGUCGGAUGUGAAAACCCAGGGCUCAACCCUGGGCCUGCAUUCGAUACGGGCAGACUAGAGUUCGGUAGGGGAGACUGGAAUUCCUGGUGUAGCGGUGAAAUGCGCAGAUAUCAGGAGGAACACCGGUGGCGAAGGCGGGUCUCUGGGCCGAAACUGACGCUGAGGAGCGAAAGCGUGGGGAGCAAACAGG
rnacentral:rRNA from 1 species